UACGUAGGGUGCAAGCGUUAAUCGGAAUUACUGGGCGUAAAGCGUGCGCAGGCGGUUAUGUAAGACAGAUGUGAAAUGCCCGGGCUUAACCUGGGAACUGCAUUUGUGACUGCAUGGCUAGAGUUUGGCAGAGGGGGGGUAGAAUUCCACGUGUAGCAGUGAAAUGCGUAGAUAUGUGGAGGAACACCGAUGGCGAAGGCAGCCCCCUGGGUCAAGACUGACGCUGAGGCGCGAAAGCGUGGGGAGCAAACAGG
rnacentral:rRNA from 1 species